rnacentral:lncRNA from 1 species
CUUCACUAAAAUCAAAGAGAACGGAACACAAGGGUGCGGCCGUGGAUACGACAUGACACAAGGCGUCCUGCACUGUUGCGCAUUUCCCUUUUGUAUACUGGCUCUUGGAACCUUCUCGGCAACUCGAAACGGUUUUUUACGCGCUUGGUCGGUCACCACCUUUACAGCUCUUAAAAGGCUAGAAGUCACCUCGCCUCUCCCACAAUCCUGGUUGGCAGUCGUGCGAUUUUCGGGAAGAGAUCUCUUUUGUUGUCUCUGGAAAUCGACAUACCGUCGCGUAGGCAAAGAACCCCUAGUCUCUUGAACGGGAAGAUGCCCAUGCAUGCAAACCUUGGGAUCGCUGCGGUACUCAGAGUCUUUCUCUCUGUCCGUCCAUCUCAUCGACCUUAUCUGUCUCCCUUAUACAUACCUGUUUACCCGAUCUGUCCAUCUCUCCUGUGACGUAUUUAUCUAUGAAUCUAUCUAUCCCUGUAAAUAUACAUAUUUUACUCAUAUCUGUAUAUGUGCGUGAAAAUCUAUUAGACGGCAUGCAUGUCUGCCUCAGCAAAUAGUGGCGUACCGCUGAAACUCAUAUCGUUUCAUUCCAGGAUGUCUGAGAAGUCGUUUUUGUGCAUGCGUUUCACAG